ensembl:snoRNA small nucleolar RNA SNORA1
AGCCUCAUUCUAGGUUAGGGCACUGUUGAUUGGUGUCCAAAAUUGGUCAGCGUGGCUAAAACUGAGACCCAGGUUAUGCUUCCAUCACAGUAAGUGUUUAUAGUGGUGAUAAUGACACCUGUAACAUUU